UGAGUAACCUGCCCUUGACUCUGGGAUAAGCACUGGAAACGGUGUCUAAUACCGGAUAUGAGCUUCAGCCGCAUGGCUAGGAGCUGGAAAGAAUUUCGGUCAAGGAUGGACUCGCGGCCUAUCAGGUAGUUGGUGAGGUAAAGGCUCACCAAGCCGACGACGGGUAGCCGGCCUGAGAGGGUGACCGGCCACACUGGGACUGAGACAUCGGCCCAGACCUCCGUACGGGAGCAG
rnacentral:rRNA from 1 species